UUGGAACUGAGACACGGUCCAAACUCCUACGGGAGGCAGCAGUGAGGAAUAUUGGUCAAUGGACGAGAGUCUGAACCAGCCAAGUAGCGUGAAGGAUGAAGGUCCUACGGAUUGUAAACUUCUUUUAUAAGGUAAUAAAACCUCCCACGUGUGGGAGCUUGUAUGUACCUUAUGAAUAAGCAUCGGCUAACUCCGUGCCAGCAGCCGCGGUAAUACGGAGGAUGCGAGCGUUAUCCGGAUUUAUUGGGUUUAAAGGGAGCGCAGACGGGUCGUUAAGUCAGCUGUGAAAGUUUGGGGCUCAACCUUAAAAUUGCAGUUGAUACUGGCGUCCUUGAGUGCGGUUGAGGUGUGCGGAAUUCGUGGUGUAGCGGUGAAAUGCUUAGAUAUCACGAAGAACUCCGAUUGCGAAGGCAGCACACUAAGCCGUAACUGACGUUCAUGCUCGAAAGUGUGGGUAUCAAACAGGAUUAGAUACCCUGGUAGUCCACACGGUAAACGAUGGAUACUCGCUGUUGGCGAUAUACUGUCAGCGGCUUAGCGAAAGCGUUAAGUAUCCCACCUGGGGAGUACGCCGGCAACGGUGAAACUCAAAGGAAUUGACGGGGG
rnacentral:rRNA from 1 species